rnacentral:rRNA from 1 species
GAUGAACGCUGGCGGCGUGCCUAAUACAUGCAAGUCGAGCGAACGGACGAGAAGCUUGCUUCUCUGAUGUUAGCGGCGGACGGGUGAGUAACACGUGGAUAACCUACCUAUAAGACUGGGAUAACUUCGGGAAACCGGAGCUAAUACCGGAUAAUAUUUUGAACCGCAUGGUUCAAAAGUGAAAGACGGUCUUGCUGUCACUUAUAGAUGGAUCCGCGCUGCAUUAGCUAGUUGGUAAGGUAACGGCUUACCAAGGCAACGAUGCAUAGCCGACCUGAGAGGGUGAUCGGCCACACUGGAACUGAGACACGGUCCAGACUCCUACGGGAGGCAGCAGUAGGGAAUCUUCCGCAAUGGGCGAAAGCCUGACGGAGCAACGCCGCGUGAGUGAUGAAGGUCUUCGGAUCGUAAAACUCUGUUAUUAGGGAAGAACAUAUGUGUAAGUAACUGUGCACAUCUUGACGGUACCUAAUCAGAAAGCCACGGCUAACUACGUGCCAGCAGCCGCGGUAAUACGUAGGUGGCAAGCGUUAUCCGGAAUUAUUGGGCGUAAAGCGCGCGUAGGCGGUUUUUUAAGUCUGAUGUGAACGCCCACGGCUCAACCGUGGAGGGUCAUUGGAAACUGGAAAACUUGAGUGCAGAAGAGGAAAGUGGAAUUCCAUGUGUAGCGGUGAAAUGCGCAGAGAUAUGGAGGAACACCAGUGGCGAAGGCGACUUUCUGGUCUGUAACUGACGCUGAUGUGCGAAAGCGUGGGGAUCAAACAGGAUUAGAUACCCUGGUAGUCCACGCCGUAAACGAUGAGUGCUAAGUGUUAGGGGGUUUCCGCCCCUUAGUGCUGCAGCUAACGCAUUAAGCACUCCGCCUGGGGAGUACGACCGCAAGGUUGAAACUCAAAGGAAUUGACGGGGACCCGCACAAGCGGUGGAGCAUGUGGUUUAAUUCGAAGCAACGCGAAGAACCUUACCAAAUCUUGACAUCCUUUGACAACUCUAGAGAUAGAGCCUUCCCCUUCGGGGGACAAAGUGACAGGUGGUGCAUGGUUGUCGUCAGCUCGUGUCGUGAGAUGUUGGGUUAAGUCCCGCAACGAGCGCAACCCUUAAGCUUAGUUGCCAUCAUUAAGUUGGGCACUCUAAGUUGACUGCCGGUGACAAACCGGAGGAAGGUGGGGAUGACGUCAAAUCAUCAUGCCCCUUAUGAUUUGGGCUACACACGUGCUACAAUGGACAAUACAAAGGGCAGCGAAACCGCGAGGUCAAGCAAAUCCCAUAAAGUUGUUCUCAGUUCGGAUUGUAGUCUGCAACUCGACUACAUGAAGCUGGAAUCGCUAGUAAUCGUAGAUCAGCAUGCUACGGUGAAUACGUUCCCGGGUCU